rnacentral:rRNA from 1 species
GAUGAACGCUGGCGGCGUGCCUAAUACAUGCAAGUCGAGCGAACAGACGAGGAGCUUGCUCCUCUGACGUUAGCGGCGGACGGGUGAGUAACACGUGGAUAACCUACCUAUAAGACUGGGAUAACUUCGGGAAACCGGAGCUAAUACCGGAUAAUAUAUUGAACCGCAUGGUUCAAUAGUGAAAGACGGUUUUGCUGUCACUUAUAGAUGGAUCCGCGCCGCAUUAGCUAGUUGGUAAGGUAACGGCUUACCAAGGCAACGAUGCGUAGCCGACCUGAGAGGGUGGUCGGCCACACUGGAACUGGGACACGGUCCAGACUCCUACGGGAGGCAGCAGUAGGUAAUCUUCCGCAAUGGGCGAAAGCCUGACGGAGCAACGCCGCGUGAGUGAUGAAGGUCUUCGGAUCGUAAAACUCUGUUAUUAGGGAAGAACAAAUGUGUAAGUAACUAUGCACGUCUUGACGGUACCUAAUCAGAAAGCCACGGCUAACUACGUG